AUUUUGUUUUUGCAAGUAGCAUAAUAUGGUACAGCAUUAAAUAUGAGAUGUGAACUCACCAUAGCAACCCCUGCAUCAUAUUGCAGAUAUGCUGCUUCUAAGCUACGGCGAAGGUUUCUGAAGAAAUACACAUGAAUGUGAGGUUCCAGUACAUUGUCUGUCACAUAAUUCAUCAGAGGCAGCACCAUUACCUGGCUAUUACAGUAAAGAAGAUUAAAGAAAGGUCAUCACAGAAGUACAGACAACAAAUUCAACUACUAGCUCCCUCAAAGCAGCUGAAGAAUUUUAUGGAUGUAACCUUCAUGUCUUUUCAAGCCAAAUCUCUCUAAUCUUUCAAAUCCAGUUUAAUCUUGUUAUCAACUCACUUGGCAGAAUUAAUAUUGUAAAAUGGGCUGUUUGCCAGGGUGCUUUACAUUCAGUUUCUUUUCUGCCAAUUCAAUUACAAAUGAUUUCUUUACAAGGUGUAAUCAUAUAUAAUGGAACCAAUGCAUUCAAAAAGACUAAAGAACUUACAGCUGAUGGCUGACUAUUUUACACCUCUGUAGAGGAAAAAGACAGAGCUCACGUCUGUUGAAAUCACUUCAGAAAGGGUCGCCUGAAACCUACAACUUCCUACGACUAGGAAGGAGAAAGACCUUGGUCUGGAAAAAAACUAGCUGGGGAGGAACUGUGCUGAAAAUGUCCUGGAGGU